UGUUUUUAAUGGUAAUAUGCAAUGGUAGUUUGUGUGGCAUUGGGCCUGCUGCUAUCCUGUAGCAGCUAACUUCUAGGGGAGGGCAAGUGACAACAGCUAAUAGAACUGUGUGGCAUUCAGGAGAGAGAGUCCUAUUUUUGUGCAUUUGAAGGUACAUAUAUGAGGGCCACAUGAAAAUAUGUCUGUGUUUCAAAGCUCCUUUUGGCAACAUAGAAAAGCCAUGUUUCUAUCUGCAAAAGUAAAACACUUGUGUCAACAAAGUUGCUGAAAAUAUGUUUAAGGAAUAGUGCCGUGCUGAGGCAAUAUUUGACGUUUUAGGCAGGAAAAGAGCUGUACUGAGUAUGAAGUGGAAGAACUGAAGAAGUACAUGCAAUGAUUUUCCUCCUUUUUUCUUGGUUUUAAGAAAAAAACCAUGUAUUUUAAAACAGGGUUAACCUCAUGGUCAAUGAAGGAAAUAGCGUAAGUGCUGUCACGGUAUUAUCUCAGAAUUACCACAGUCCCUUACAGGCCGUUUGUUCUGGUGGGUGAAUUUUAAAACCGAAGUUACAUAACUGGCAUUUUUUCACUUCUGCAGAAUUAAUGCCCAGGAGUGCAACUUCACUGAGUCCCUGUUGGAACCAGUAACCAGUGACAAGCCUUUGAGCAUUCAGUGUCAGCUCUGGAUGCUCAGCACCUUGCUGAGUGCCUUUGCAGAUUCCUUUUCUAUCUAAUUCUGGAAUGUUGUCAUAUUUAGGAAUGUCAUACUGGCCUUAAAUUAGGGUGAUGUGAAUCUGUAGCAGCUGGGUAAAUCGGUGUACUCAGUGUGCAUCAGGUUUAGAUCUUGAUCCGAUUCCUGAGCAAAGGGAAGAGGAACUUCCUCAGAACAUCAUCUGGCAGUGUCCCAGUGGAGAAUGGAGUUCAGCCCCAGAGCCUGUCACCUUCAUACUUCUGCGGCUGGUUCAGCAAGGGCUUGAGUGCUUAAACCCCGCAAGAAACAAUACGGAAUUGAAAACGGCUCAAAGGAUGGACUCAGUUUUUCCCCUCAUUUUACACUGUGUUGAAUCCAAUGUGCAAUGGACUGAAUCCAGCAGGUGAAAAAUGCAAGUAGUGUUAUCUUUCCUAGAAACUGAAUACCUGUGAUUCUGUGCCACUGUUUUUAAGGACGGCUGGGGAAAUCUGUUCCAAACAUCACUAACAAAACAAGUUCUUUGUUCUUGGUCAGACUGGGAGAGGGACAACUUGUUUUGCAAGACAGACGUACAGUCCUCUGAAAGCCACUGUCUGUAUCCCGCUUCCCAUGAUUAUGUAUAUGUAUGUUCUAACAAGAGCUGCCUUUUGAAAUCAGCUCCUCCUUACACCUAAUUGAGGAAUAAAGCCAUAAUGCCAAGUUUAUGGUAUCUUAGU
rnacentral:lncRNA from 1 species